rnacentral:misc_RNA from 1 species
UAACAACUAUCAGCGUCUUUCAUUUUCAAUAAUAAUUGAGUUGUAAAUAGCACAACGGGGGCACAGAAGUCAGGAUAGGCAUCACAACCACAGAUUGUCUGCUCUAUGAUUCCAAAGAGACACCAAAGAAACAAGCUUUAAUUGCUACACUAAACUAGGACCAAGGCACAGGCUCUAACACCAGCAAUAAAUUCUUAAGUGUUUUUCAGACCAUGGUGAUUCA